UAGGGAAUCUUCCACAAUGGGCGCAAGCCUGAUGGAGCAACACCGCGUGAGUGAAGAAGGGUUUCGGCUCGUAAAGCUCUGUUGUUAAAGAAGAACACGUAUGAGAGUAACUGUUCAUACGUUGACGGUAUUUAACCAGAAAGUCACGGCUAACUACGUGCCAU
rnacentral:rRNA from 1 species